UCCAACAUCCAUUAAUCCCUUUAUUUUUUUUCCAUUAAUCUUAAUAGUCAUUCAUUCUUCCAACUGAAUGUCCAAAAGACUUGAGAAGUCCCUGAACUUCCAAAUCCUGAUGUUCCCCUUUCUUUCUGGCAACUCUUUUCCUAUCUUAAGAUAUGGCAGCAGUAACAACUGAGCAAUUCUCAUUCCUGGCUGUAUAGUAUGAAUGGUAUCUGACCUUGCUAUCACCUUAAUUUCUCCCUGAUAGUCCUCAUUAAUUACCCCAGGCAAAACUUGUAAACCUUUCAUGGUUAAGCCACUUCUCCCUAUGAUGAAGCCUACACUAUCAGGAGGGAGAGGGCCAUAAAUUCCAGAAGGGAUAUUUAGGGAUAGCCUGAAUGCCCUGUUCAUAUGUUAAAACUGCUGCUGUGGCCCAGGGUAAUGCGCUGCUGGAUUGCCCCUUGUAAGGGAUUGGAUUCCUUUUCCAAGACACAAAUGCCCUUGGUUGAUAGGGCCGGGGCUUCCUGUUUCCUAACACCAAAGCUGUAAGUAGGGUGCCGUUUUGUGAAACUUAGAUUGACAGUGAUGAGCCCAAUGAUUUCUUUUCUGACAAGAGGACAUAAACAUGGUUAGGACUAGGUCCUGGAGAUGAUCCUGUUGCAGGGUGUGCCUUUUCUUUUGAGUGGGCUCAGCAUUCUCUCUGAAAGUGUCCUGCCCUUCCAGAGUUAAAACAUUUCUUUCUUGAGCUUCCAAGUAAGUGUUACUUUCAAUGCUGCAGCAGGCAUUGCUUGAGUAUGACCUGUACUCCCUACAUCUUGCACACCUUAAUAAAAUCAGAGAUGCCUUCUGAAUUUCUUACAGGGGUCAUUGCCCUUUUACAGUCUUUAUUUGCAUUUUCAUAUGCCAAUUAUUUAAUUAAAAUAUCAGCUGCCUGAGAACGUGCUGCUUGGCGAUGUACUGCUCUUGAAGUGGGCAGUCUACAAAUUGUGGGUAAGCUUCUGUAGGACCUUGAAGGCAUAUUACAAAAGAUCCUUGUGGAUUUCCUCAGGAAUUGUCAUCCAUGCUCUUUGGGCAGCCAGGCUCAACUGCUUGUAUAACCAAAGAUCAGAAGUCAGUUGCUUUGCUAAGUCAAGAAAAGGGCCUGUCCCAACCAACUUUUUUUUUUUUUUUUUUUUUGGUCUUUUUGUCUUUUCUAGGGCUGCACCCAAAGCAUAUGGAGGUUCCCAGAAAAGACAAAAAAAUAAAAUAAAAAUAAAAAGUAACUG
rnacentral:lncRNA from 1 species